GACGAACGCUGGCGGCGUGCUUAACACAUGCAAGUCGAACGGAAAGGCCCUGCUUUUGUGGGGUGCUCGAGUGGCGAACGGGUGAGUAACACGUGAGUAACCUGCCCUUGACUUUGGGAUAACUUCAGGAAACUGGGGCUAUACCGGAUAGGAGCUCCUGCUGCAUGGUGGGGGUUGGAAAGUUUCGGCGGUUGGGGAUGGACUCGCGGCUUAUCAGCUUGUUGGUGGGGUAGUGGCUUACCAAGGCUUUGACGGGUAGCCGGCCUGAGAGGGUGACCGGCCACAUUGGGACUGAGAUACGGCCCAGACUCCUACGGGAGGCAGCAGUGGGGAAUAUUGCAUAAUGGGCGGAAGCCUGAUGCAGCAACGCCGCGUGCGGGAUGACGGCCUUCGGGUUGUAAACCGCUUUCGCCUGUGACGAAGCGUGAGUGACGGUAAUGGGUAAAGAAGCACCGGCUAACUACGUG
rnacentral:rRNA from 1 species